rnacentral:rRNA from 1 species
GACGAACGCUGGCGGCGUGCCUUAGACAUGCAAGUCGAACGGAGUAGCAAUACUCAGUGGCGAACGGCGGAGUAAUGCAUAAGCAACGUGCCCCAAAGACUGGGAUAGUCGAGGGAAACCACGGGUAAUACCAGAUGUGGUCCUUAGAUGGCAUCAUCGAGGGAUUAAAUCGAGCAAUCGGCUUUGGGAGCGGCUUAUGUCCUAUCAGCUUGUUGGUGAGGUAACGGCUCACCAAGGCUACGACGGGUAGGGGGUCUGAGAGGAUGAUCCCCCCGAGUGGGACUGCGACACGGCCCACACACCUACGGGUGGCAGCAGUUUGGAAUAUUGCACAAUGGGGGAAACCCUGAUGCAGCGACGCCGCGUGGAGGACGAAGGAUCUAGGUCUGUAAACUCCUUUUGCCAGGAAAGACUUAGGACGGUACCUGGCGAAUAAGCCCCGGCUAACUACGUGCCAGCAGCCGCGGUAAGACGUAGGGGGCGAGCGUUGUCCGGAUUUACUGGGCGUAAAGAGCGCGUAGGCGGCUAGUUAAGUGAGAAGUGAAAAUCUCCAGGGCUCAACCCGGAAACUGCUUUUUCAUACUGGCCAGCUGGAGGGACGCAGGUGUGACUGGAAUUUCCCGGUGUAGCGGUGAAAAUGCAUUGAUAUCGGUAGGAAUCUCCAACAGCGAAGGUAGGUCACUGUGCGAACUCCCAAACAGCGAAGGCAGGUCCACUGGGCGUUUCCUGACGCUGAGGCGCGAAAAGCGUGGGGUAGCAAACAGGAUUUAGAUACCCCUGGUAGUCCACGCCCUAAACGAUGGAUACUAGACGUAAGAGGUAUCGACCCCUCUUUGUGUCGCAGCUAACGCAUUUAAGUAUCCCCGCCUGGGGAGUACGGCCGCAAGGUUUGAAACUCAAAUGAAUUGACGGGGACCCGCACAAGCGGUGGAGCAUGUGGAUUAAUUCGAUACUAACCGAAGAACCUUACCCAGGUUUGACAUCGAUGGUAAGCCCGAGAGAUCGGGCCCUCUCUCACAAGGAGACCUGAAGACAGAUGUUGCAUGGCUGUCGUCAGCUCGUGCCGUGAGGUGUACGGUUAAGUCCGCCAACGAGCGCAACCCUCGUCCUAUGUUGCCAGCGAGUAAUGUCGGGAACUCAUAGGAGACCGCCGGUGUAAGCCGGAGGAAGGUGGGGAUGAUGUCAAGUCAGCAUGGCUCUUACGCCUGGGGCUUCACACAUGCUACAAUGGGCGCAACAAAGGGCACCGAAGCCGUGAGGUGGAGGCAAUCCCAAAAAUACGCCCCCAGUUCAGAUUGCAGUCUGCAACUCGACUGCAUGAAGGCGGAAUCGCUAGUAAACGCAGGUCAGCUAUACUGCGUUGAAUACGUUCCCGGGUCUUGUACACACCGCCCGUCAAGUCACCUGAAUUGUCUUCACCCGAAGUCCGUGGCCUAACCGUAAGGAGGGAGCGGCCGAAGGUGAGGGGAGUAAGGGGGACUA